UUGACCUCGGAUUAGGUAGGAAU
rnacentral:rRNA from 1 species